GACGAACGCUGGCGGCGUGCUUAACACAUGCAAGUCGAACGGAAAGGCCCUGCUUUUGUGGGGUGCUCGAGUGGCGAACGGGUGAGUAACACGUGAGUAACCUGCCCUUGACUUUGGGAUAACUUCAGGAAACUGGGGCUAAUACCGGAUAGGAGCUCCUGCUGCAUGGUGUGGGUUGGAAAGUUUCGGCGGUUGGGGAUGGACUCGCGGCUUACCAGCUUGUUGGUGGGGUAGUGGCUUACCAAGGCUUUGACGGGUAGCCGGCCUGAGAGGGUGACCGGCCACAUUGGGACUGAGAUACGGCCCAGACUCCUACGGGAGGCAGCAGUGGGGAAUAUUGCACAAUGGGCGGAAGCCUGAUGCAGCAACGCCGCGUGCGGGAUGACGGCCUUCGGGUUGUAAACCGCUUUCGCCUGUGACGAAGCGGGAGUGACGGUAAUGGGUAAAGAAGCACCGGCUAACUACGUG
rnacentral:rRNA from 1 species